GUGAGUUUGGAGGGUGCCGGUCAACGAAGCCACGCGAGGUAUUUGAAAGGCAAUCAGCCCGACCGUCCCCCUAGAUUCAUCGAAGCCGGGACAUUUCUUUUGGCUGUGGCAACCAUGUGAUUCAUUUGGGAAGGAAGAUGAUGACCAUCAAGGAGCCACUUGGAUUCAAUGAAGGCAGUGGCCACUGAGAGGUUGGCUCCAUUGUGGAAAGUUGGAGCCAUUCAGCCUUGUAGAAAACAGAAGGGAGAAGGAACUCAGUGAAUAUUGUCCUGGCUCCCAGUAAUGCUGUCCACGGAUGACACCUGCCCCUCCUGCUCAUUCUUCCUGAGUCAACACAGCCACUCUUAACUUUGGAAUGACUGUAGACAUUCUAUGUUACAAUGAGCCUGGAAGAAAGAAGAGAAGUGAAAUAUAGAGAGGAAAUGAAAACUAUUUAUUUUACGGAACCAGCCAUCCCCCUGCAGAUUAUGGAGACUGUGCCCAGGACUGUAAGACGGAUACUACCCAGCAGAAUAACUGCCGUGGAAGGAUGUUUGUCCUGCCAAUUGGCACUUAUCAAUGACAUCGAGGGAGAGGGACAGAGUGCCUAGGUGUGAGCCUCCAUCAAGUGUUGUGAAGGCCCUACUCCAACAGAAAGUGCUCAUGUGAAGAAAUGAUGCUUUGGACAAGACUUGCCUCCAAGCUGGUGCUAGCCAAGGGUUGGCAAACAGGAUCCCUGGGCAUCAUCCCUGUUGCAUAUUCUUACGAAUAAAGUUCUACUGGACA